rnacentral:rRNA from 1 species
GACGAACGCUGGCGGCGUGCUUAACACAUGCAAGUCGAACGGAAAGGCCCUGCUUUUGUGGGGUGCUCGAGUGGCGAACGGGUGAGUAACACGUGAGUUACCUGCCCUUGACUUUGGGAUAACUUCAGGAAACUGGGGCUAAUAUCGGAUAGGAGCUCCUGCUGCAUGGUGGGGGUUGGAAAGUUUCGGCGGUUGGGGAUGGACUCGCGGCUUAUCAGCUUGUUGGUGGGGUAGUGGCUUACCAAGGCUUUGACGGGUAGCCGGCCUGAGAGGGUGACCGGCCACAUUGGGACUGAGAUACGGCCCAGACUCCUACGGGAGGCAGCAGUGGGGAAUAUUGCACAAUGGGCGGAAGCCUGAUGCAGCAACGCCGCGUGCGGGAUGACGGCCUUCGGGUUGUAAACCGCUUUCGCCUGUGACGAAGCGUGAGUGACGGUAAUGGGUAAAGAAGCACCGGCUAACUACGUG